GAUCCCUUGAUGCCAUCCCCAAAUGUGAAGUCUGACAUUUUCUUAGCUGAUGGCCUCCUUUGUGAAGGUAUUUUGUGUCCUCCCAGCAUGCCUGCUGGAUCCCUGGUUUGCUGCGGUUGCUAAGGUAAAUACUCUUUCCAUUAAGCACCACAGCCCAAGAGUGGCCUAAAGCUCAAAUAAAUGACCAGGGAGCAAGUUAAACAUUCCCUGGGGCAAUUUUAACCUAUGCAAUGGCUUUUUGAAAAAAUGGCCUAUUUUUUCAUGUUUUGGCCAGGGGGGUGUCUCUUAUUCCCUUCGUCUUUAUUUUCCUUUCAGCUGAGUACACCUUCUCUUUCAUUUAUUCAUGUGCUAGAUGAAGGGUGGAAGCAGGAUGAAUGAAUCACAGAGCACUGCCCCUCUCCCCACUCAGGGUCUGUGAAGAGAGCCGGAGCAGAAUACAGUCCAGGCAUUAUGUCAACUUUGGGAGAACAUGGGGCAGGUGGCUGAUUCUCACAGAGACCCCACUUCCCUUUCCUGUGAAAAAUACCACAGCGUAACAGCCACUGGGGAACAGUGUUCUUCUGGAAGCUUCCUCUGGGCAGGGGAGUCAAAGAUCCUGGUCCUCAGGGACACUUUGAGACAGCAACAUUCUCAGCAAACCAUCCAACGGCAACUCCUGUGAUCACAAAAGUCAAGCACUGAUGGAAAUGAAGACCACAACCCCAAUUCCUCAGGUGCCGGAUUGAUGGGACUGCAAAUGUGUAAAGUCUUGCACAGGAAACCCC
rnacentral:lncRNA from 13 species